rnacentral:rRNA from 1 species
GUGGGGAAUAUUGGACAAUGGGCGCAAGCCUGAUCCAGCCAUACCGCGUGGGUGAAGAAGGCCUUCGGGUUGUAAAGCCCUUUUGUUGGGAAAGAAAUCCUGUCGGUUAAUACCUGGCGGGGAUGACGGUACCCAAAGAAUAAGCACCGGCUAACUUCGUGCCAGCAGCCGCGGUAAUACGAAGGGUGCAAGCGUUACUCGGAAUUACUGGGCGUAAAGCGUGCGUAGGUGGUGGUUUAAGUCCGUUGUGAAAGCCCUGGGCUCAACCUGGGAAUUGCAGUGGAUACUGGAUCACUAGAGUGUGGUAGAGGGAUGCGGAAUUUCUGGUGUAGCAGUGAAAUGCGUAGAGAUCAGAAGGAACAUCCGUGGCGAAGGCGGCAUCCUGGGCUAACACUGACACUGAGGCACGAAAGCGUGGGGAGCAAACAGGAUUAGAUACCCCUGUAGUCC